GGACAGAUGGCCGAGUGGUUAUGGCGUGUGACUCAAGCUUAAUAUACAUAGUUUGAUUGAUUUAAUCAAUCGGCAUUCUCAUGGGCUUAGCCCGCGGGGGUUCGAAUCCCCCUCUGUUCA
rnacentral:tRNA from 1 species